CACGUAGGGCGCAAGCGUUGUCCGGAUUUAUUGGGCGUAAAGAGCGUGUAGGCGGCCAGGUAGGUCCGUUGUGAAAACUCGAGGCUCAACCUCGAGACGCCGAUGGAAACCAUCUGGCUAGAGUCCGGAAGAGGAGAGUGGAAUUCCCGGUGUAGCGGUGAAAUGCGCAGAUAUCAGGAAGAACACCCGUGGCGAAGGCGGCUCUCUGGGACGGUACUGACGCUGAGACGCGAAAGCGUGGGGAGCGAACAGG
rnacentral:rRNA from 1 species